CGGGAGCGGGGGUGCGGGAGCACGUCAAGCCAAGCCAAGCGGCUCGGACCGGGUCGCCGCGGCGCAGCUGUGGGUCCUCACCAGACAGCCGCUUGUUCGCCAGACAGCCGCUUGGCGCUUCCGCACGUUGAUAUAGUCCGCUCCAAAAUGUGGACAACCCCCGCCAUCGUCUGCGGCGUCUGCCUGGCGUUAGUGACGUCCUCCCCGGCCAUCGACGACGCCGCCCCCGAUAACUACGUCUACGACUAUGACGACUACGCCGACUACGGCCCGACCAAGGAAUCGCUGCCGUUCACUAUCUUCGACGACGUAAAGCCGCGUCCGCCUGCGCCUGACGUCAAGCUGCCGUCAGCCUGCGCCUGGGCUGUGGUCCAGUGCUGCGCCAACCCUGACGCCAUGGGAAGCCGAAUCGGCUGUUUUUCAAACGUUGGUUGCUCCGGUGCCUGGCUACAAGACUUCUGCAAACCAGAAACCAAACAGCUAGUGCUGAAAAUGGUUUUGCAAUCUUUCCAGUUGACGCAUAAGAAAUAGGGUUGGCUAUUUGGGCGCUGCAACUGUUGUUGACGCAAUUCUAUAAUUUCAUGGUCAUUUGUCGCCGCGAAAUGCUGGAGUUUUAUGUCAAAAUUGACUCAAAAUCCGGCGUUUUCCGUUUGCGGUCAUGACAAUUUCUGCAUGGUCAACACGAUCAC